UGGAGUCACCGAGGCCACCCUUGGCACCGGAAGUGACCCUGGCGGGUCUGCCUUCAAAUUGUGGGCUACUUGAAACAGCAUCUGGGGCUCGUGACGGUUGGACCAGGCAGUGCUGGGUCCGUGAGCACAGAGCAGGGUGGUUGGGGCAGGACAAGACAGGGCCCUCCUUCCUCGCUGUCCGGAGCCCCACUCGGCCCUCCCCCUCCGCCCGGUAGUGGGCGGUUUCCCGAGAGCCUCUGCGCCACAGCUUGUAGUUGAGCAUGAGUCUUCUUAUGAUUGGUGAGAAUGUGAAGUUGGCCCGUGAAUAUGCAUUGCUGGGAAAUUACGACUCUGCAAUGGUCUAUUAUCAGGGAGUUCUUGACCAAAUGAACAAGUAUCUGUACUCAGUCAAAGAUACAUACCUCCAGCAGAAGUGGCAACAGGUUUGGCAGGAAAUAAACGUGGAAGCGAAACACGUUAAGGAUAUCAUGAAAACACUAGAGAGCUUUAAACUAGACAGCACUCCAUUAAAAGCUGCACAACACGAGCUUCCAGCAUCUGAGGGAGAAGUCUGGUCCUUGCCCGUACCUGCCGAACGAAGACCAUCACCAGGACCUAGAAAACGCCAGUCUUCUCAGUACAGCGACCCUAAACCACAGGGUAACCGUCCAAAUACAGCUGUCAGAGUUCACCGUCCAUCCACACACAGUCUUCACAGUGACAGAGGGAAAGCUGUUCGUAGUCGGGAAAAGAAAGAACAGAAUAAAGGAAGAGAGGAAAAGAACAAAUCACCUGCUGCAGCUGCAGAACCAGAGGCAAAUAAAUUUGAUAGUACCGGGUAUGGUAAGGACCUAGUAGAAGCUUUGGAAAGGGAUAUAAUUUCUCAGAAUCCCAAUGUUCGAUGGGAUGAUAUUGCUGAUUUAGUAGAAGCUAAAAAGUUGCUUAAGGAAGCUGUGGUGUUACCAAUGUGGAUGCCAGAAUUCUUUAAAGGCAUUAGGAGACCAUGGAAAGGAGUGUUAAUGGUGGGCCCACCUGGCACAGGAAAGACCUUCCAAAUACAGAGGAGAGUCUGAGAAGCUUGUUCGUCUUCUGUUUGAAAUGGCUCGAUUUUACUCUCCAGCUACUAUAUUUAUUGAUGAGAUAGACUCCAUCUGCAGCCGCAGAGGGACUUCUGAAGAGCACGAGGCAAGCAGAAGGGUGAAGGCCGAGCUGCUGGUUCAGAUGGACGGUGUUGGAGGUGCUUCUGAAAAUGAUGACCCUUCCAAAAUGGUUAUGGUUCUGGCAGCUACUAAUUUUCCCUGGGAUAUUGAUGAGGCUUUAAGACGACGUCUUGAGAAAAGAAUCUAUAUUCCAUUACCAUCAGCAAAAGGCAGGGAGGAGCUAUUACAAAUAAGUCUCCGUGAGCUGGAAUUGGCUGACGAUGUUGACCUUGCAAGUAUAGCAGAAAACAUGGAGGGUUAUUCGGGUGCGGACAUUACCAACGUGUGCAGGGAUGCAUCCUUGAUGGCAAUGAGAAGGCGUAUUGAAGGUUUGACCCCGGAAGAAAUCAGAAAUCUUUCAAGAGAAGAAAUGCACAUGCCUACAACUAUGGAAGAUUUUGAAAUGGCUUUAAAAAAGGUUUCAAAGUCAGUGUCUGCUGCAGACAUUGAAAGAUAUGAGAAAUGGAUAUUGGAGUUUGGAUCAUGCUAAAUUCUCACAUGUAAACUGUGAGCAACCUUGCAUUAAGUGUUUGAAUAAUUAAAUGUAGUAUUUCAUUGCACCAAGCGCUAUAUUUUUUUAAACUUUCGUUAUGGUAAGAGUGAAAAAAAGUAUGAUUCUGAAUAAAGGCAAUUUUUUUCAAGUUACAAAAAAAAAAAAA